CUGCUCACAGCCAGUUGAGGGUGAGGGGUGAGGCUGGCAGCCUGGCAAAGUGCUGAGAAGGAGGCAGGGACGAGAGCCCAGCGCGGGAAAAGCCGAGGUUGCCACCGUGGGCCUGGCACGACCAGGGGCUGGAUGCCCCGCCCGGCCCAGCUCCCGCGCGCACAGGUACCUGGAGACGAUUUCAACUGAAGUAAUGAAGGCAGUGUCGUGCUGUCGAGAGAAACGUGGAUCCCAACAACAGGAAACUACCUAAAUCACCGACCAGUUCUGGUGCUGCCCACGCGAAGCUGCCUCGCCCGCCGCCACCGCCGCCGCCGCCGCCGCCACUGCCGUCACCAGGGAAGAACCCUGAGAUCGCGCCCGAUCCGACCCCGUGCCAACCUGCGCCCGCCGCUGUCACUGCGUGCCCAGGGCUGCCGCUAAUGCAUUACGCAGGGAGACGACCCAGCCCGCUAAGCCAAAGUCAAGCCCUUUUGCCAACCUACAUGUCCAUGCCUGUAAGCCCUUCUCUUUGCCAAGGAAGAAAGGAAGAAAAAAAGAAACCCAGGGGCCUGUAUCCCCUGAUUAAACACAGCCCAGACUCUAGGCAGGCAAGCCUGAUGGCGGCUCCUUGCACCAUUGACCUCAGGCCAGACACCUCAGCGCCUACAAUGGGACAUCGGCCUUCCGGCCAGAUUUGUCCAGCGGCCGCCGCAGGAAACCAGCCCCACCAGGAGGACGGGCCAUUUCCAGCAGUGGAACCCCAAGACAGCAAACCAUCCCUUGACAUUUAGGAUAAUAUUUACCUAUAGAAUUUUAGCGCGAUAUGGCUUUUUCCCCCAGAAAACAAAUAAACCAGCACCAAGCAAACAAAAAAACAAAAAGUCAGAACCAACCAGCCCUGCACAGAUGUAAACGGCCAGCGACAUGGAGAGUGUGGGAAGGAGGAAUGGGGCUCCCGCACAGGUGCGAGUUCCUGAGCAGAGGUCGAAGACGAGGGAGGAGAAUGGCUCUCAGGAAGAGAAAAAACGGCGUUGCUUGGAGCUUCAUCAGGAAAAAUUAAAGUUGGCUGUGAGCUCCCGGAUCCGGUUUUCUCGGUUCAUUUUCUUCAGUUUCAUCCUGCGGUUCUGAAACCAGAUUUUAACUUGUCGGUCCGUGAGGUGGACGCUGCGGCUGAUCUCUAGGCGCCGCUCUCGAGUAAGGUACAUGUUGAACAGAAACUCCUUCUCCAGCUCCAGCGUCUGGUGUUUCGUGUAGGGGCAACGCUUCUUCCUGCCGCUUUUUGCAGUGAGCCAGUUGGCUGCGUUUUCGCCUUUGGAAUUGCCUGGUAUUUAAGAGUAAAGAGGGGAAGGUUAAAUCGAGGCCACACGGGCUGCACACAAGAGUGAAUUCGGGAUGUUCCCGCCAGAAGAGGGAUGCCCUAAGUCACACAGAAAGUUAUCCCCUUCCACCCCCAUCUUACCCGGGGAAGAGCAGUUCCUCCAAAAGGCCUGUGCAAAACCGGGUGGGCCUCCAACCCACACCUACCCUCCCAAGUCACAUUUUCCUCCACUUUCCCCAAACACCUGUUUCAGCACAAAGCUGUCAGGCGCUUGCAGAAGGAGCCGCCUGGGAGGGCAAGGCUGUAUAUCUUGAACUUAACGCCUUUCUUUGCCUCUCCCACCAAGGCAGACAAGAAUUUCCUGCAGCCCCCUAAUCUGGGGCGUGGGGUGCUUACUUGGAAGGGGGACGGACUGUGGCUGUGUCUCACUCUGGUCCCCUGGUUGCACAAGGCCCGAUGAGGAGAGGGAGAAGGGCACAGCUGCGACAUGCGGACGGCAUGAAAAACUGAUAGGGGGUCAAGGGCCCUCCCUCACGUCUUUGCAGGAGCCAGGGACAUAAGUCUGGGCAAUUCUGUGUUCCAGGGUAAACGAAAUGGCCCCUCUGCUUCUCAGCUCAGGGCCCUGGGCCCUGACGUCCGGGCCGGAUUUGCCUUUUCUUCUCCCGCAAUGAGGAUUUCCCGCCCCUUCAGAAACUUUGAAAAAAGCAUGGGGGAUCGUAAACUCGAA